rnacentral:pre_miRNA from 1 species
GGAAGUUAAGAAACGGUUUCUUAACUUUUAACUAAAAAGGCUAAAAACCGGUUCUUAAAGUCCUUAUUUAAGAACCGGUUCUUAGCUUUUUUAGUUAAAAGUUAAGAAACAGUUUCUUAACUUCU